rnacentral:lncRNA from 1 species
AUGACAUUCCCAUAAUAGAAUGGGUGGGGGCGAUUAUGAAUCAUUUGAGUAUUGUGAAGAAUGUGAUCUCAUUUUGUACCCAAGCCACCAACUGCCUGACCCAUGAGGCCACCCUAGACCACCCACUCACUGGCCCACCCACCAGCUGACCACGGACCCAUGAGAGAACCAGAAAAACUGCCCAGGAAACCAACAAAAUAUGAUCCAGCCCAGCCUGUGAGACCCCAGCCAGCAUGGCCCACCAGGAUGGCUCUUCCACAAAACGGAGAUCCAUUUGGAAAUGGAAGAAGACUCACCAACCACUUCAGGCCCACCAAUGCAGUGCUUUCCCAGAGGAACUUGCAACUUAACAGCAUAAGGGACUUGACAUAAAGGCUAUUUCCACUGUUGUUUCCUGAGA